UGGCCUAGAGUGGGGAUGGAGAGAGAGUA
rnacentral:piRNA from 1 species